rnacentral:rRNA from 1 species
CCUACGUGAGGCAGCAGUAGGGAAUCUUCCACAAUGGGCGAAAGCCUGAUGGAGCAACGCCGCGUGGGUGAAGAAGGUCUUCGGAUCGUAAAACCCUGUUGUUAGAGAAGAAAGUGCGUGAGUGUAACUGUUCACGUUUCGACGGUAUCUAACCAGAAAGCCACGGCUAACUACGUGCCAGCAGCCGCGGUAAUACGUAGGUGGCAAGCGUUAUCCGGAUUUAUUGGGCGUAAAGGGAACGCAGGCGGUCUUUUAAGUCUGAUGUGAAAGCCUUCGGCUUAACCGGAGUAGUGCAUUGGAAGCUGGGAGACUUGAGUGCAGAAGAGGAGAGUGGAACUCCAUGUGUAGCGGUGAAAUGCGUAGAUAUAUGGAAGAACACCAGUGGCGAAAGCGGCUCUCUGGUCUGUAACUGACGCUGAGGUUCGAAAGCGUGGGUAGCAAACAGGAUUAGAUACCCGUGUAGUC